GGGUGCUGGUGUACGCGUAGUGUGGCAAAGGGGAGCCAUUUUGAAGGGGGGAGGGCUGGGAUUGUUGUGGUUUGUUGUACCGCAGCCUGGGAUCCCCAAUGUGUCCGCUUGACUAGAGGCCUCUUGGGCGGCGAGUGGCUUCUUUCCCUUGAGAUGCUUCCUGUGGAAAGUAAGUCAAGAUGUCUUGAAAGUCAGGAUGGAUCAGCAGUUGAACCAUGUUCUAAAAAAAUGAAAUCAACAGAAGAGCCUUAUGGCAAAUCCUAUGAUGGAUUGCAAAGCCUAUAUGAAGAAGUACACAUUAAAAAAACCCAUAGUGGGUUUAUACCUCUGUCCCUCUCUGAUGAUGAGGAUGGAAUACAUGAAACUACGGGAGACCGGGUCCCACCUAAAAAAGUGUUCCUUGGUAUAAAGCCAGUGACGUAUAAGCCUUCAAAGGCAACAAAUAAUGAAA